rnacentral:rRNA from 1 species
AUUGAACGCUGGCGGAAUGCUUUACACAUGCAAGUUGAACGGCAGCACGGGGGCAACCCUGGUGGCGAGUGGCGAACGGGUGAGUAAUACAUCGGAACGUGCCCAGUCGUGGGGGAUAACGUAGCGAAAGUUACGCUAAUACCGCAUACGAUCUACGGAUGAAAGCGGGGGACUGUAAGGCCUCGCGCGAUUGGAGCGGCCGAUGUCAGAUGAGGUAGUUGGGGGGGUAAAGGCUCACCAAGCCGACGAUCUGUAGCUGGUCUGAGAGGACGACCAGCCACACUGGGACUGAGACACGGCCCAGACUCCUACGGGAGGCAGCAGUGGGGAAUUUUGGACAAUGGGCGCAAGCCUGAUCCAGCCAUUCCGCGUGCAGGACGAAGGCCUUCGGGUUGUAAACUGCUUUUGUACGGAACGAAAAGGCUCUGGUUAAUACCUGGGGCUCAUGACGGUACCGUAAGAAUAAGCACCGGCUAACUACGUGCCAGCAGCCGCCGUAA